CAUGCAAGUCGAACGAAGCACUUUAUUCAGAUUCUUUCGGGAUGAUGAAUUUAGUGACUUAGUGGCGGACGGGUGAGUAACGCGUGGGUAACCUGCCUUACACAGGGGGAUAACAGUUAGGAAUGACUGCUAAUACCGCAUAAAACAGCAGCACCGCAUGGUGCAACUGUCAAAGAUUUAUCGGUGUAAGAUGGACCCGCGUCUGAUUAGCCAGUUGGUGGGGUAACGGCCUACCAAAGCGACGAUCAGUAGCCGACCUGAGAGGGUGAUCGGCCACAUUGGGACUGAGACACGGCCCAAACUCCUACGGGAGGCAGCAGUGGGGAAUAUUGGACAAUGGGCGAAAGCCUGAUCCAGCGACGCCGCGUGAGCGAUGAAGUAUUUCGGUAUGUAAAGCUCUAUCAGCAGGGAAGAAAAUGACGGUACCUGACUAAGAAGCCCCGGCUAACUACGUGCCAGCAGCCGCGGUAAUACGUAGGGGGCAAGCGUUAUCCGGAUUUACUGGGUGUAAAGGGAGCGUAGACGGAAGUGCAAGUCAGAAGUGAAAGCCCGGGGCUUAACCCCGGGACUGCUUUUGAAACUGUGCAUCUAGAGUGCAGGAGAGGUAAGCGGAAUUCCUAGUGUAGCGGUGAAAUGCGUAGAUAUUAGGAGGAACACCGGUGGCGAA
rnacentral:rRNA from 1 species